rnacentral:rRNA from 1 species
CAGUCGCCACGGUAAUACGGAGGGUGCAAGCGUUAAUCGGAAUUACUGGGCGUAAAGCGCACGCAGGCGGUUUGUUAAGUCAGAUGUGAAAUCCCCGAGCUUAACUUGGGAACUGCAUUUGAAACUGGCAAGCUAGAGUCUUGUAGAGGGGGGUAGAAUUCCAGGUGUAGCGGUGAAAUGCGUAGAGAUCUGGAGGAAUACCGGUGGCGAAGGCGGCCCCCUGGACAAAGACUGACGCUCAGGUGCGAAAGCGUGGGGAGCAAACAGGAUUAGAUACCCGGGUAGUCCCUGUCUCUUAUAA